rnacentral:lncRNA from 1 species
CCAAGUCAUUUAUUAUCUGUUACUUGACUAUACAAGACAGCUCUCAAGACACUGCUUCUGAUUUUGAUGAAAGCUCUGGAGGAUACUGUUGGUGUGGUGGAAAA